rnacentral:rRNA from 1 species
AUACGUAGGGGGCGAGCGUUGUCCGGAAUGAUUGGGCGUAAAGGGCGCGUAGGCGGCCCGGUAAGUCUGGAGUGAAAGUCCUGUUUUUAAGAUGGGACUUGCUUUGGAUACUGUCGGGCUUGAGUGCAGGAGAGGUAAGUGGAAUUCCCAGUGUAGCGGUGAAAUGCGUAGAGAUUGGGAGGAACACCAGUGGCGAAGGCGACUUACUGGACUGUAACUGACGCUGUGGCGCGAAAGUGUGGGGAGCAAACAGGAUUAGAUACCCUGGUAGUCCACACUGUAAACGAUGAAUGCUAGGUGUAGGGGGUAUCGACCCCUUCUGUGCCGCAGUCAACACAAUAAGCAUUCCGCCUGGGGAGUACGGCCGCAAGGUUGAAACUCAAAGGAAUUGACGGGG